rnacentral:rRNA from 1 species
GUUUUUUCUCAGGCAGCAAUGUCUGAGAAACGUUCACUGUGAACAAAUCAGGACGCUUAGAGUAUGGUUACAAGAAUGACUCAGCGCAGUAUGAAUUUUUUGUUUUCUUCGGAAAACAAGCUCAACGAGAGCCAUCGGGGGUAGAUCUAUCUCAUGACGAGUGGUGGAAUACGGUGACUCAUGAGAGAGAAACGGAGGCGAAGGCGUCUACCUAGAGGGUUUCUGUCGAUCAAGGGCGAGAGUAGGAGUAUCCAACAGGAUUAGAGACCCUGGUAGUUCCUACUAUAAACGAUGCCGACAGGAGUUUGUCAUUUUAUAAUGGCAGAAUCUUUGGAGAAAUCAUAGUUCUUGGGCUCUGGGGGAACUACGACCGCAAGGCUGAAACUUGAAGGAAUUGACGGAAGGGCACACCAGGGGUGGAGCCUGUGGCUUAAUUUGAAUCAACACGGGGAAACUUACCAGGACCAGAUGUUUUUUAUGACUGACAGGCUUUGGGUCUUUCAGGAUAUGAUUUUUGGUGGUGCAUGGCCGUUGGUGGUGCGUGGGUUGACCUGUCUAGCGUUGAUUCAGCUAACGAGCGAGAUUAUCGCCAAUUAUAUACUACGCCUAGGUUUCUAGGUUGC